rnacentral:rRNA from 1 species
UACGUAGGGGCCUAGCGUUGUCCGGAUUUAUUGGGCGUAAAGAGCUCGUAGGCGGUUUGGUGAGUCGGGUGUGAAAUCUCCACGCUCAACGUGGAGGGGCCACCCGAUACUGCCAUGACUAGAGUCCGGGAGAGGAGGGUGGAAUUCCCAGUGUAGCGGUGAAAUGCGUAGAUAUUGGGAGGAACACCGGUGGCGAAGGCGGCCCUCUGGACCGGUACUGACGCUGAUGCGCGAAAGCGUGGGGAGCAAACGGG